rnacentral:rRNA from 1 species
GAUGAACGCUGGCGGCGUGCCUAAUACAUGCAAGUCGAGCGAACAGACGAGGAGCUUGCUCCUCUGACGUUAGCGGCGGACGGGUGAGUAACACGUGGAUAACCUACCUAUAAGACUGGGAUAACUUCGGGAAACCGGAGCUAAUACUGGAUAAUAUAUCGAACCGCAUGGUUCAAUAGUGAAAGACGGCUUUGCUGUCACUUAUAGAUGGAUCCGCGCCGCAUUAGCUAGUUGGUAAGGUAACGGCUUACCAAGGCAACGAUGCGUAGCCGACCUGAGAGGGUGAUCGGCCACACUGGAACUGAGACACGGUCCAGACUCCUACGGGAGGCAGCAGUAGGGAAUCUUCCGCAAUGGGCGAAAGCCUGACGGAGCAACGCCGCGUGAGUGAUGAAGGUCUUCGGAUCGUAAAGCUCUGUUAUUAGGGAAGAACAAAUGUGUAAGUAACUAUGCACGUCUUGACGGUACCUAAACAGAAAGCCACGGCUAACUACGUG